ACUUACCUGUAACAAAGCACAGCCACAAAGAAAGAACUAUCUAGUUUUCUGUCCUCUCAACUAAAAUUCAAAAGUUCUACAAGAAGUCUAAAAAAAUCUGUCAUCUAAGUUUGACAUUAAGGAAUAGCUUCAAAAAAAUUUAAAUUGUGCUAAGUUUCACUGACAGCAUGUUUUUCAAAUCUGGGAAUGCAUGUUAAUGUAGCCAGACACAGGAGUCUCCUGAACACAUGAACUAAACAAAGGCUUUCAAAAAUACCAGCACACCUAUAAACCACAUAUUCAAAUCUCGAGUUUGUACACAUAAGUGACCAACCUCUAAGUGACUUCACAUAUGUUAAAAACUGCUUUAGUAAAUGAUGAAGAUAGUGGCUAUACAGCAUUUUUGCAGUCCCACCAUGUAAUCUGAAACACCUAGGCACACACAUAGCCCAAGGAAAAGAUAGCCUCAAUCAAGUGGAACUUCAGUUUUUUAUUUUGCAUCAGUGACACAGUAUUAAAUUACUAACUAGACGACUACAAAAUUAUAUACAAUAAUCCAACUCAUUUUAUUCCAUAAUAAUAAGGUACUCUUUUUAAUUUUACGAACUUACACCAACAUUAGCCAUCUGAUCCUUGGUGGAGAAUCAGUACAGACCAGGAAAGAAGUAUACACUAUCAAUUUCUAAGAGACUUUAUGUAACCUUUCCCAGGUCACAAAUGUUACAAACUGGAUUUCAAAUAAAAGUUCCUGCUCUCAGCUCCAUGCUCAAACCAUGUCUACCCUUACCUCAUGAUUACAGGGAGGGUGGAGGGGGAACAGAAUAUGAAUGAGAAUCUCAAAAUCCCUUCUUGUUAUGAAAGUAAAGGCAAAUCAUACUCUAGCUGGAGACUAACAUCAAGGAUGCUGCAUCUAGCAGCCCUGCGUCUAACACAGAGGCUCAGAGGUCGUAAAUUGUCUCUGUAACAUGUAUUUCAUUCAGGUUUAUCCCUUAUUGAUCACCCACACUUCAGUUAGCAAAUCAGGAACCUAUUGAUUACUCACUGGCUCUGACUGACCUGGUGGUAAAAGGGUCAGUUUCAAGUGGCUGGUGCACUUUACGGGCACCAUAAAUCUGCAUUCGUGGAAUCUCCAGGUGGUAGGUACCUUGGGAGAGAGAGGAGCAAAAGAAUGUAUGCAGGGAUGAUAGCCCUCGUUAAGAUGUGGACUGAAAGGGUAUCUGAGGUAUAAUAUACAAAAUAUGAAUUUUUUUGGUUGGUAGCACACUUUUCAAUCUAAAUUUCUAAUCACUAGCUUGCAUACCUGUGCUGUAUCAGUAAGAGAAUAGAACUGGUGAUUCCCAGUUUAACAGCAGACUCCUAGGAACACCACCACCAGGAAAGUCAGGUCAUGCGCAGCACACAACAUAGCAGUGGACAGGCUGAACUAUAAAUUGUGAAAAUCUCACUGACAGGCUGUCAGCAUGAAUUAGCUUUUCUGCCAAAGUUGAAUCUUAACAACUUUUCUGAACAGUUUAAAAAUUACUCUGAAGUAGAACAGAACAAGGCUGAGAGGAAAGACUGACACAAAAUGCACAUUUGUGCAGUCACAAGCCCCUCUGUGAAGAAUUCU
rnacentral:lncRNA from 1 species